rnacentral:rRNA from 1 species
UGGUGGAGCAUGUGGUUUAAUUCGAUGCAACGCGAAAAACCUUACCCACCUUUGACAUGUACGGAAGUUACCAGAGAUGGUUUCGUGCUCGAAAGAGAACCGUAACACAGGUGCUGCAUGGCUGUCGUCAGCUCGUGUCGUGAGAUGUUGGGUUAAGUCCCGCAACGAGCGCAACCCUUGCCAUUAGUUGCUACAUUCAGUUGAGCACUCUAAUGGGACUGCCGGUGACAAACCGGAGGAAGGUGGGGAUGACGUCAAGUCCUCAUGGCCCUUAUAGGUGGGGCUACACACGUCAUACAAUGGCUGGUACAAAGGGUUGCCAACCCGCGAGGGGGAGCUAAUCCCAUAAAGCCAGUCGUAGUCCGGAUCGCAGUCUGCAACUCGACUGCGNGAAGUNNGAAUC